CUCUUGCUUUGGGUCUUAUUUUUAAUGGAAUAUUAAGGGAACACAGUAUUUAUUUUAAUUGUAACUUUGUGAAAUAUCUUUUAUCUUGAAGUCUGUUGCUAUUUUUGUCCUUUAUGAAAUUUUUGUCACCAGGUAAGGCAGGAUUACAUUUUCUUCCAGAUUGAGUUGAUGUAGGGUAUUCUUGGUUAUCGAAAUAGUCAUAGCUUUGGUACUUUGAAAUGGUAAAUAUUCAUGAUGUGUACCAUCUUAAUUACAUAAAAAUGGAAGCUUAGUUGUGUAGAUACACAGGACUUAGGAGAACACAUCAGACUGUAAACUGCUUAUGAUUAUGGACGGCUUUGUUCUUUGCUUGUGUUUUUCAGUUUCCUAUAUAUGCACAUGUUAACUUUA